rnacentral:rRNA from 1 species
GACGAACGCUGGCGGCGUGCUUAACACAUGCAAGUCGAACGGAAAGGCCCUGCUUUUUUGGGGUGCUCGAGUUGCGAACGGGUGAGUAACACGUGAGUAACCUGCCCUUGACUUUGGGAUAACUUCAGGAAACUGGGGCUAAUACCGGAUAGGAGCUCCUGCUGCAUGGUGGGGGUUGGAAAGUUUCGGUGGUUGGGGAUGGACUCGCGGCUUAUCAGCUUGUUGGUGGGGUAGUGGCUUACCAAGGCUUUGACGGGUAGCCGGCCUGAGAGGGUGACCGGCCACACUGGGACUGAGAUAAGGCCCAGACUCCUACGGGAGGCAGCAGUGGGGAAUAUAGCACAAUGGGCGGAAGCCUGAUGCAGCAAAGCAGCGUGCGGGAUGACGGCAUUCGGGUUGUAAACCGAUUUCGCCUGUGACGAAGCGUGAGUGACGGUAAUGGGUAAAGAAGCACCGGCUAACUACGUG